UAAAUUUCUCAAAUAAUAAUUUUUAAAACGUAACAUUUGAAAUUAAUAAAAAUUAUGACAUUUGUCUAUGCUAGUCUAUCAAGGAUUAUUAUUAUAUGUUGUUGCAUGGUAUCUCUAGGGUUUUUGUACUAUCGACAAUCAGUAUUGGCUAAACCCAAAGGUUAAAAGAGAAUGAGAUUAUUAAGAGCUUUACUUUGCACCUCCUCCUCGGCCGAUGGUUCGUUUCUUUGAUUUUAAGGAUUUUUGGCUUCCGGUGGAAGGAGGAUUGAGAUUUCGAUGAAAUAUAUAUUCCAAGCUAAAAAUUCUUAGCAGAAGGCUCGAUUUGCCUUCCUAGUUAGUUCCCUCUCUUUUUUUAGUGAUGUGGAUUGCUGACAUAUUUAUGAUUUUUCAAAAGUCACUCUGUAUUUUUUUUUUUUUUUUUUAAAAAAUAGCUCCUCGGUGUUAUUUAGACCUUUAGGCUUUUUCCUCUGUUUGGUUGAGCUAGUAAACACUUGGGCCUCAGUUGCUCAUGGCUACGUAAUCUUGGGCUUCAGCCUGUUCCUAUCAAUGAACUAUUAUUUUUUAUUUUAAAAAAAAAAAAAAGAAACAAAUCCUAGAAAUUUUGAUUGCUCAUGCAAAAGCAUGGGCAAAAAUAUUCGGAUAAUAUUACCAGCUUUGAGUUUCUUUCCUUUUGAAAGUGAUUAUUUAUAUAUGGAAGAGGAACACAAAUUUCUACGGACAAAGGCCUUUAACAGUAGUACAUCAUUUGCUUGCAAUAUUACAGUUAAAAUUUAGUACUGAAGUGGCUGUUGGAUGCUUACUAUUUCAAUUUCAUCUGCCACUCAUUUCUUGCCUUAAACUAAUCAUUUCUUUCUAGUGCAAACAGCUUUAUUACAUCAGGGAUUUAGCAAUCAAAAACAGUACUCCUGCAGCCAACCGACAAGAAAAGGAACAACUUAUGAUUCCAAAUGGAUGGUAAAAUUCCUCAAGUAAUUAUAAAAAAGAUAAAAAUAAAAUAAAAUAAUCAAAUGAUGAAUUGGGUAUAAGGAAAAUUGGAAACUUGGAUCAUCCUCUCCAUGAUAUGCUGGGGACAAGAAAUUGAAAUGCUUGAAUUAGUGCCAAGGCCACAAAAUAUAAGGGAUUCAGUCUUCAUUUAGAACUGCUGGAGAAAAAUUUUGAACCAUUCUUGAGAGAGUUUGUAAGCUUAUAGUCCAUAUGAUAAGCUUAUAAUCGAACUAUGUGGAUUCGAUCCUAUUCCAUAUUUCUAAGCAAAAAUGGAAAAAAAAAAUGGAGGAGGAAAGGGAAGGAAAGAAAAGAAAAGAAAUUCUGCUGUUUUUGUUUCAUGAAUUUUAAGAACUUUAUGUUCCCAGAUAGCUAAAGAGGAAACAAGUUUGCCUGAGCAUGAAACUUUAUUGACUGAUGUGAAAUUGCUUUUACGGUACUCCAGUUUCAGCUGGAAGAACAUGACAGGACAAUACAGAACAAGAACACUAACCGAAAUAUCCAAGGAGAAGAUGAUCUGCAAUGGUUUAAUAUCAACUACAGGUGUAUAGAUUUAGCAGAAGACAAGAAUUAAGCUGAUAUAUUGAAUGUUAUAAAAUCAUCUGUACUUCUGGUUAAUGAAAUAAAAGGUAUCUCCCCAGUCCGUACUAUCUAAUUAUUCUCGAAGCAUCGACAAUGACUUUAUUCUUGUUUUAAAUCUGGUGCCUUGAAAAGAGCCAAGGUGUUCUGUUACAGGGAAAAGAUGGAAAAAGGAGGACAAGUUGGUGAAAGAAGAGACAUAAUGUUCUAUGCUGAAGGUUGCUUGUCUCGGACAAGACUUGUGAAGAUGCAUGAGAUUUUAUAGCCAACCAAGACAGGGCCUGUGCUCAUCCUUGUGCCGGAGCCAAUCUCGGUGUGCUUUUUGUUCAAGUGCAACCACAAAAUAUCCAUGAAGGUUUCAAUAGCAAAGCAAGCUGUAAGUAGAUAAUAACUGUAAUUUUUGGUUCCUGGAGAUGAAUCAACCUUGUAAAAUGUACUGUGCAGACAAAACUACAUGAGAAAAGCAUAAUGUGAUUCCAAAAGCUCAAGUAAUUGACAUUCAGAUAGCUGCUACAGCAAAUGGAAGUUUUCUUUUAAUCUAAUUACAAGAUAUCUCAAUUACAACACGGGCAAAUCAAAAGGAAGUUUGAGCCAAUCAAGGAGACUGAGUUGAUUAUCCAUCAUCUACAACGCUGCUUUCCAGUAUUCAAGGGAGAAUCUCUUAUGCUUUUAGAUGAGGCAUUUCUGUG